CGGGAUGUAGCGCAGUCCGGUUAGCGCGCUUGCUUCGGGAGUAAGAGGCCGCCGGUUCAAAUCCGGCCAUCCCGA
rnacentral:tRNA from 1 species